GCUGCAAUCGCCGUUGCCGCCCGAGCACCCGCCGCCGCCGCCGCAUUCUCCCGGCGGAGGAGCCCCAGCUCCAAUCCUCUGUCCGCUCUGCUGUCCAGGAACGUCGUCGCUGGCUGGUGCACCGCCACUCCGGCGCCGGCGCCCUCGCUCGUUCGUUCUCCCAGGGUUCGAAUCAUGAUGUCUGCAGCUGCAGAGCAGGUGGCCGGUGGCUUCUCAUCAGCAGUUAUCCAGCGUGCUGUUGACAAGGUGAUUGACUUCCUUGAGAGCAACUAUAAUCUGAGCCAUGCUACUGAAGAGCUUUUGACCAAACUCCACACAAGCCUCACCAUGGUGAAGGCCAUCACCGAGGUCGCUGAUAACCAGCUUAUCACCAGCACUAGUCUUACCAAGUGGCUAAGGAACCUCCAUGAUGCUGCCUAUGAAGCUGAGGAUGUGCUUGACAAGUUUGACUGUCAAGACAUUGUCCUCGGAAAGCGCAAGAUGAGCGAGCUCGUUUCGUCGUCGAUUAGGGCCCUUAAAAGUUUGGUUGUACCUGAUGAGAGCAUGAAAAGGCUUGAAUAUGUUGUGCAGAAGCUAGAUCACCUCUGUGCAACCUCCAACACAUUUCUGGAGCUCUUAAAGCAGAGUAGUUCAUCAUCCAUCAAGGAGGGAGUUGGGGGAGAGACUACUUCUCGUGUUCCAGUUGAUGUCAAGCUGUUUGGACGCGAUGAAGUUCUAGAGUUGAUACUGAGAAUUAUUUUGGGUUCAUCUGGCUCUGAACCAGAAUCCAGCAGCAUAAGAGCAAAACAUGGGGCAAGGUACACCAUUGGUGGUAUUGAUGUCAUCCCAAUUGUUGGUAUGAGCGGGGUUGGGAAGACAACCCUUGCUCAAGUCAUUUACAAUCAUGAAAAUGUGAAGGGUCACUUUGGGCACAGAGCAUGGGUGUAUGUUUCAAAACAUUUCGGAGUGAAAAGGACGUUGCAGGAGAUGUUGUGCUCCAUUAAAGGAAAUGAUUCAUCUUUUGACCGUGCUGAUAGUCUAGAGACAGUUGUCAACAAUAUUCAAAAUGUCAUCCGGCAUGGAAGAUUCUUUCUUGUGCUUGAUAGUGUUUGGGAUGAGAUGUGUGAUCAGUGGAGUAGUUUGCUUACUGCCAUAGCUGGUGAAGUACCGGGAAGUGUAAUUCUUGUCACAACACAAAGCAAAAGGGUUGCAGACACAGUAGCAACAAUGUGUCAAGUUCCACUAGCACCUUUGCCAUGGGAGAGUUUUUGGUCAGCUUUCCAGUAUUAUGCUUUUGGCACCACCGGUCCUGUGGCAGAGAACAAUCAGACUCUUCUGUUAAUUGGUGAGCAAAUAGCAAAAAAACUAGAUGGCUUGCCAUUAGCAGCAAAAGUAAUGGGAAAUCUGUUAAGAUCCAGAUUUACCAUACACCAGUGGAGAAGCAUCCUUGAGAGCGAUUGGUGGGACCUGAGUGAAGUUCUUUGUGAAAUCCUUCCAUACAUGGGAAUUAGUUAUCAAGAUCUACAGCCUAGACAAAGGCAGUGCUUCGCUUUCUGUUCGAUUUUUCCAGGAAAUUACUUGUUUGAUAAAGAUAGAUUGGUCAAUAUGUGGAUUUCUCACGAUUUCAUUGAACAAAGCGAAUCUGGUGGCACUAGAUUAGAGGACGUUGGAGGUAAAUUGUUUGAUGAACUUGUGCAAAGAUCAUUUUUCCAGGCUACAUUUGAUAAAAGGAGGUACACUAUGCACGAUCUAGUACGGGCUCUGGCAAUUGGUGUUUCUUCAUAUGAAUGUUUUCUCCACAAAGAGACCUCACGCAGAGCAUCACCAACUGCUCGCCAUUUGGCUCUGCAAGUUAGUAAUCAACUGCACAUUCAUGAACUCAACAAGUAUAAAAAUCUGCGGACAAUCUUACUGUUUGGUCAUUGUGACAGUACUGAAAUUUGUGAUGUUGUUGACAAUAUGUUAGCCAACUCAAGAAGCAUUCGAGUUUUAGACUUAUCUUAUUUGGAAGUGCUGACAAAUAUGCCUGCCCACAUUUCAUCCUUAAAGAAAUUGAGGUUCUUUGAUCUUUCUUUCACAAGAGUCAAUAAUUUGCGCAACUUCCCUUGUAAUCUUCAUGCUUUAUACCUCCGUGGAUAUACCCGCAAUUCUAUUCCUCAAAGUGUUAAUACACUCGCCAAUUUGCGGCACUUGUAUGUUGACGCUACAGCUCUCUCUUUGAUUCCUGGUAUUGGGCAACUGAGUCAACUUCAAGAAUUGGAGAACUUCAGUGUUGGAAAGAGAAACGGAUUCAUGAUAAAUGAAUUGAAAAACAUGCAAGAGCUAUCUGGGAAAAUUUGCAUAAGCAAUAUCCACGUCAUUAAGAACACACUUGAGGCAGCCGAUGCCAAUAUGAUUGGGAAGAAACACCUUGAAGCCUUGGUGUUGAAGGGGAGAAAUGUAUCCAAAGAUGUACUUGAAGGAUUGCAGCCACACUCAAAUCUUCAAGAGCUCAUGAUCGAAGGUUACGGGGCCACAACUUUACCUAGCUGGAUCUUGCAAGGCCACAUCUUCACAAAACUGCAGUCUAUUCAUGUUGGAAGCUGCCGACUUCUAGCUGUACUUCCGCCAUUUGGAAAAUUCGCUUCACUCAAGCAUCUCACUCUUGAUAACUUGCCAUCGGUGAAGCAUGUUGAUGGAACACAUUUUGGUUGCCUCCCAAAUUUGGAGGACUUCAAAGUUUCUUCGAUGACAUCUUGGAUAGAUUGGUCACAUGCAGAAGAAGAUCAUGGCCCUCUCCUUCCACAUCUCACAAGGUUUGAACUUCACAAUUGUCCUUUACUGGAAAAAGUGCCCAACCUAUCAUCCAUGUCUUCAUUGUCAGAACUUAACAUUUCAGCUUGUGGGAACUUUGCCAAGGCACUCCCACAAUAUGUAGGACUAUUAGCAUGUCUCAAAAAAUUAAGGAUAUCUUACUGUGAUCACCCACUGCUAUUCUCUGGGCAUCAGUUGAAGUCACUGGAUUAUCUACAUCUUCGAAAAUGUGGAUCUCUACGUUUGAUUGAUGGGCUACAAUGUUUUCCCAACCUCAGGGAUAUUGAUGUUCUUGGUUGUCCUGGCAUUCUUACUGAAUUACAAGACCAAUCGGUUAGACAAGAUGAGCAGGAUUUACUUCAUCUUAGCAGUAUAGUUACAGAUAUUAGCUUGCUAAAUAAGAACUUUUUUGUCCCCUCAGUGUGUGCUCUGUGCAUCGUUUAUCUGGAGGCCCUUCAUUUUACCCCAGAGCAGGAGGAGUGGUUUGGACAACUAAUAUCUGUCGAAAAAAUCGAGUUUGCUUACUGCUAUUUUCUGCAACGACUCCCUUCUACACUAAACAGACUUACCUCCUUAAAAGUACUUAGUAUCAGGGAGACAAAACCCCUGUCGCUGGAAGGAGUUGUGCCACAGAACCUCCAAGAAUUGAUUAUGGAUGGCUUCGUCAUGGAAGACAAUUUCAAACCUGGAGGAUCAGAUUGGCUGAACAUCUCUCAUGUUCCAUACAUUCGGCUUAAUGGGAAGACAGUCCAAAACCUGUCAAUUAAUGCUGCUUCAUCGUCUUCAAACCACCAAAUUUGAGUACCAUGUAUCUGUUCCCACUGCUUGUCUCUGCCUCUGUACUACAAAUAAUACGUAUCUCUUCUUCUGGGAAGCAAGGUUGCAGCAUGGUGUGCUAAAGAUCGUUUGCUCCAUGCAUGACCCGCAGAUAUGGUGCAUGGAUAAACUCUGGCUGGCUGGUGCAGAGUGCACCCAGGAUAGUCAGUAGUUCCUGAGGAAGGGAAGCUCAGGGAGAUCAAGGAGUAGGAGACUGACGACGCGCGCACAUGAAGGGCACCAAGGAGUAAGUGGGCUCUCGGACUCUGUUCCGGUCUUCUGUGUUGCUGUUGGGCUCUCGGACUCUGUUCCGGUCUUCUGUGUUGCUGUUGGGCUCUCGGACUCCGAUCUGGAAGAGAUCGUCCUCACCAAGGAUAUGCGCGGCGGGAUGUUUGAUCCAGAUGGCACCGCUGACGGUGGACUAUGCCUGGAGCAGCACGACCGCUCAGGGGAGGUAAACAACAUGUUGUACAGGAAGAAAGAGGGAGGAUUCAGAUCCGGCCAUGUCGGCAAGGCGACCAUGGUUCUUCACGCUGUCCUUGAUGUGUUCAGACUUCAGACCACCUGGUCAGCAAGCUGUGUAGGUGACUACUAGCCGAUCAUCAGUUUUGUUAUGUUCCCACUCAUAUAUAGCUCUUGUUACACGCUGUCGGGUGCUUGAUAUAUAAUCUGCACAAGAUCUGAAAAGCAAGCUGGUUGAUGCAUGUUUGUCAGCUUGUAGAUGAACCAACUUCCGAAAUUCUUCUCUUGUUCAUGAAAAAAUACUCAUUCUUCCGAAAUUCAGACUCGGCCAUGUCGGCAAGGCGACCAUGGCUCUUCGCGCUGUCCUUGAUGUGUUCAGACGACCUGGUCGGCAAACCGUCGCGAGCUUUGUCAGUGAUUACUAGCCGAUUAGCAGUUUUGUUGUGUUCCCACACAUAUAUAGCUCUUGUUACACUCCUAGUACAUGCAAGUGCAACAAUUAAUCCUACCUUGGAUUCGAUCAGAUUGUUUCCAAGGGCCGUCUGUUCUAUUCGGGUGCUUGAUAUAUAAUCUGCACAAGAUCUGAGCGCAAGCUGGUUGAUGCACGUUUACCAGCUUGAAGAUGAACC